rnacentral:misc_RNA from 1 species
GAUGAAGAACGUAGCGAAAUGCGAUAAGUAAUGUGAAUUGCAGAAUUCAGUGAAUCAUCGAAUCUUUGAACGCAUCUUGCGCUCCUUGGUAUUCUGAGGAGCAUGCCUGUUUGAGUGUCAUUAAAUUCUCAACUACACUGACUUUGAAUUGGUGUGGCUUGGAUUUGGGGGGAAAAUUGUUGUGGGCUUUUUGUAUAGUCUGCUCCCCUGAAAUUGAUUAGCGGUACCUUUGUGGAACUGUCUACAGGUGUGAUAAUUAUCUACAUCUUAGACAUCUGCUGGAAUGCUGCUUUCUAAACCUUACUUGUAUUGACAAUCUUGACCUCAAAUCAGGUAGGACUACCCGCUGAACUUAAGCAUAUCAAUAACGGAGGA